rnacentral:rRNA from 1 species
AGCUCCAAUAGCGUAUAUUAAAGUUGUUGUGGUUAAAAAGCUCGUAGUUGGAUCUCAACAGACUUGGAUCGGUUUACUUUGUGUAAUACUGAUCCAAAGCUGUGCUUUUGUCGGAGGUUUAGGGGUGCUCUUAACCGAGUGUCUCUGAGUGCCGACAGGUUUACUUUGAAAAAAUUAGGGUGCUUCAAGCGGGCUGUUAUGCUCGAAUAUUUGUGCAUGGAAUAAUAGAAUAGGAUGUUGAUCUUAUUUUGUUGGUUUUCGAGACUUGACAUAAUGAUUAAUAGGGACAGUCGGGGGUAUUUGUAUUCAAACGACAGAGGUGAAAUUCUUGGACCGUUUGAAGACAAACUACUGCGAAAGCAUUUACCAAGAAUGUUU